CAUCUGUCAUUACACAAUAAUUUAUCAGUAAAGGGCAGGGCGCAGUCGUCUGUGUGUUGUGAUAAAAUUGAAGAACGAAAGUAAAAAGCUUUAAAAUGGGAAACUACUUUACAAGCAAUUUGGAAGAAAAGAUGAGAAAAAAUCAAGAAACCAUGCACGCCAUUAAUAUGGAACGGCAAAUUCAGCUGCAAUAUCAAAUGCAAGAAAGGUUAAUGGCGAUGCAGAUUGCAAGGAGUAGAGACACCUGCCUGUGGUUCACAACAUUCUAUGUUACAGCAGCAACAGGCCUAAUCACUGGUUUCAGAAGGACAAAAAGGCCAUAUCUUUUAGUGCCGAUGAUACCUCUCACUUUUGUGACUCUUUACUAUUGGGAUCUUGCUUAUGGAAACAAAGUCCACAGGAUCAGAAUGGAAGCCGAACACAUAAUGACACACGAAGCGGACUACCUCGAGUAUCCUUGCGGUCUUCCGACGCCUUCUUCCAUCGAUCUCGGACGUUUUGACGUCGAAGAAAAGAAGAAAAUACAUCCUCCCCUAUUGUAAAGAUGAUGCUUUAAGAACUACGUGUGCCUUCACCGCAAAGUAGAUCAAAAUAGCGGGUAGUUUAGACCUUCAUCUUUUGAAAAAACUGCAUUAGUCUUGGCGAAAAUUGAACAUUUUACAAAUCUAGUUGUAAGAGAAGGUUCAUACCUGACGGAAAGUGCGUCGAGGGUAUCGUAAAUGUAUGAUCAACGCAUCAUCGGUUAAGUGUGAACGAUUGAAUGUUUUAUCGUAUAUUUGUCUGUAUUGGUAUUACGCGACUCAUGUUCCGUCAGAUAUGAACCUUCCGAAUGUGAAUAAAAUCGUAUUGCAGCUUGGAGUUCUAAACCUUCAGUGACAAGGUCAGUACUUCUAAGGCUUCUUAUAAUAGACAGAGUUCAAAUGUACAAUUUGUAGCAGUACCAAAUUACACACUUUAAGCUCAUAAAUAAUGUCCUUUAAAGGUUAAAAAUUCCAAAUGUGUGUCUAGAGACAUGUAUGUUAAUAUUUAGUAGGUAGGUUCUUACUCCAUUUAAGUUUCAGUUUUACGACUGAAUAAGUAAGUGAGAGUAGGUAACCGCAGUAGGUUCUUACAUAAGAGACGAAUUCUUAUCGGAUUCAAUGUCAAACCAUUUGCUCGACAGUCAACGUCAGUCGUUAAGUUUUAGUGCUCUGUUGAGCACUUUUCAUGACGUUUUUAUUACCUACUAACGUUUUCGCCUAAGGGAAAUGCAGAUAUAGUGACAGCUAGAUUUUAGAGGCACAACUAUCAAAUUGAAAUUAAAAACGUAGUUAAUUCUAGAAGUCAAAAAUUAAAAUAAAAGUUACAGUUUUCUAUGGUAUAUUGUAACUAUUACAUUCUUAGCAAAUAUUAUGUAAUUUAAUCUAAGUUAGUUGAAAAAUUGGCGUACUUAAAUGGUGUACAUUAAAAUUUUAAAAUUAAUCAAAUUGCUACAAAUUGCGGCUGUCGUUCAAUCAAUGAAACUUCAAAAACGUUCUCUAAACGCGGUUCUUAUUAUAAAAAUCAAUAAAUAAUAAUCCUUAAAUCUUCCCUAUUUUUAAUAAAAAUUAAAAUAUUCUUCUCAAAUACUGUACUCCCAUUUGCUUCCUUGUAUGUAUGUUAUAUACUUACAGAGUAUUAUCAUCCGUUAAUAAUCUUUUCUACUUUAUUUUCUGUUACUGUAAGUAUUAAUUAAUUCUAUUCGUAAUCGUUGUAUUUAUAUUUCUUCUUCCGUGUUACUUCCGAUAUUGGCAGCAUGACAAAUGCCCUUUCUAAUAACCCGUCAAGGGGCGAACACAGAGAUCACGCUAUGCUACCUCACUGCGUUUAUAAAUAAGGCCUAACCGCCAAAUGUAAAUUUAGUUAAAUCUAACUUUAUUUCCAUACCUUAGGGUCGAAUGUUGGUUGUAGAUUUCUUGUAGAGUAUCUGAGAUAUUAUUUAUAUUUUGUUAAUAAUGUUUUUUUGAUUAGAUUACUUACGUGGGUCAGUUUUUAAAGGCUUACGAUUUUUUUUAUUGCAUUUACAAUAUUGUUCAUAUCUCGAUAAGAAUUAUGUUCUUUUUUAGAUUUUAUCUUACAUUUUAUCACGGUGUUAUGACUUAAAACUGCUAUAAUCGCAUUCUAAAAAAGUAUUAUGCAUUCAAUAAUUAUUGUCUAAGUAAAAAUGUCGAAGUAUUUUAAGACAAUUCCUAGAUUAAAGAGAAAUGUUUAUUGACAGAAUUACUGUACUAAUGUUAAAUAAAAAUCAUUUUUAAAA